rnacentral:rRNA from 1 species
AUUGAACGCUGGCGGCAGGCCUAACACAUGCAAGUCGCGCGAGCGGCGGACGGGUGAGUAAUGUAUGGGGACUGCCCGAUAGAGGGGGAUAACUACUGGAAACGGUGGCUAAUACCGCAUACUAUCGGAUAACCCAUAUGGGAUUAGCUAGUAGGUGGGGUAAAGGAUCACCUAGGCGACGAUCUCUAGCUGGUCUUAGAGGAUGAUCAGCCACACGGGGACGGAGACACGGCCCAGACUCCGACGGAGGCAGCAGUGGGGAAUAUUGCACAAUGGGCGCAAGACUGAUGCAGCAAUGCCGCGUGUAUGAAGAAGGCCUUAGGGUUGUAAAGUACUUUCAGCAUCGACGCGGUAGAUGGAGAAGAAGCACCGGCUAACUACGUGCCAGCAGCCGCGGUAAUAC